AGCAGCCGCGGUAAUUCCAGCUCCAAUAGCGUAUAUUAAAGUUGUUGCAGUUAAAAAGCUCGUAGUUGAAUUUCGGGGUCAGUAGGCUGGUCGUGCCCCCGGUACGUACUGGUCUAACUGAUUCCUCCUUCCUGAAGAACCGUAAUGCCAUUAAUUUGGUGUUGCGGGGAAACAGGACUGUUACUUUGAAAAAAUUAGAGUGUUUAAAGCAAGCUAACGCUUGAAUACAUUAGCAUGGAAUAAUGAAAUAGGACGAUCGAUCCUAUUUUGUUGGUUUCUAGGAUUGACGUAAUGAUUAAUAGGGAUAGUUGGGGGCAUUAGUAUUCAAUUGUCAGAGGUGAAAUUCUUGGAUUUAU
rnacentral:rRNA from 1 species